rnacentral:rRNA from 1 species
UACGUAGGUGGCAAGCGUUGUCCGGAAUUACUGGGUGUAAAGGGAGCGUAGGCGGUUUGGUAAGUUGAGUGUGAAAUCUACCGGCUUAACUGGUAGGCUGCGCUCAAAACUGCCAAACUUGAGUGAAGUAGAGGCAGGCGGAAUUCCCGGUGUAGCGGUGGAAUGCGUAGAUAUCGGGAGGAACACCAGUGGCGAAGGCGGCCUGCUGGGCUUUUACUGACGCUGAUGCUCGAAAGCAUGGGGAGCAAACAGG